CUAGGAUGAUCUGAUGUGAUGCUGACAGCUGCUGUGUGAUUUGUAUAUCUUGUUUGUAUGUGGACUUUGUCUUGUUAAUAAAUGUUGAGUGUUGGCUCGAGGGGCUGAAUGGCCAACUCCUGCACCUAUUGUCUAUUGGCUUUUGUCAAAGAUCCUUUCUUUGAAUCUGACAACAUAAAACAUGAACUCACUUCUUUCCCAUUCCACAGAUACUGCUCAAAGGGCUGAGUAUUUCUAACAUUUACAUUUCUUGUGCUCCUGGUUAUUGAGGAUUGAAACUGGAGGGCAAUAUCCACUCUGUUGUCAGCAGUGCUCAUUCAACCAUUGUUCCAGGCUUAGACUAUGAUAGACAUUUGUCCAUUGUACAAUGGGAAGUAUCACAGCUGAAUCAGCUACUUUAUCAGCCAACCAUCAGCUCCCAUCUCCUGCCUGCGAAAUGUCAUCUGAUUGUAACCAAGAAAUAGAAACGUGUGUGAAUGUUUACAUCUCUAACUGAUGGCUACUGAGGCAAGUUGUGGCUCUCUGAUCUUUGUACUCGGUUUGUACUCGCUAGAAUUUAGAAGAUUGAGGGGGGAUAUUAUAGAAACUUACAAAAUUCUUAAGAGGUUGGACAGACUAGAUGCAGGAAGAUUGUUCCCGAUGUUGGGGAAGCCCAGAACAAGGGGUCACAGUUUAAGGAUAAGGGGGAAAUCUUUUAGGACCGAGAUGAGGAAAACAUUUUUCACACAGAGAGUGGUGAAUCUCUGGAAUCCUCUGCCACAGAAGGUCGUUGUGGCCACAGUUCAUUGGCUAUAUUCAAGAGGGAGUUAGAUGUGGCCCUUGUGGCUAUAGGGAUCAGGGGGUAUGGAGAGAAGGCAGGUACAGGAUACUGAGUUAGAUGAUCAGCCAUGAUCACAUUGAAUGGCGAAUGGUGCAGGCUCGAAGGGCCAAAUGGCUUCUACUCCUGCAUCUAUUUUCUAUGUUUCUAUGUUUUUCAGUGAGGUCAAUUAAUCUGGGAAAAAGAGACACAAUAUGCUGGAGUAACUCAAUGGGUCAGGCGCAUUCGCUGGAGAACAUGGAUAGGUGAGGUUUUGGUUGGGACCCUACUUCAGACUAAAGGGCUGUGACCCGAAAUGCCACCUGCCUAACCUGCCGAGUUUCUCCAACACCUUGUGGUGAACUAUCAUCUGCAGUACCUUGCGUCUCAGUUAAUCUGGAUCACAAGUUAAACUCAAGACCCCUGAUCUAAAUUAGUCAGUGUGGUUAAUGCCUGGUAUUGGGGAAGCUUUUGAAUGAUGCGCAUUUAUUCUACAAAUGUGAACUCUGUGUUUAUCACUUUGAUAGAGAUUGAACAUUCUAUAUUGACCUGGUAUAUUGGUGGAAUUAUCGGGAGUCUGGCUCUUCUCCUCGCCAUUAUACUGGCAGUGGUGUGGUGUCAAAGAAGGCGCAAGUCUACAGAAACCAAUGUGACCCCAGUACCUGAGAUGAGCCGUGUUACUGAAUAUAUGUCUGAGUAGGAAGACAAAGCAAGAAGGUAAAUAGAUGACUCCGUCAAUGAAUCUCUAGUUGUACAGGUGUUGUAUUUGAUGAAGCAACCUAUUUCACAUUUCACAGUUUUGUAACAAGAAUGUGAGGAAGGGAACCUCAAACACACAAACUAAUUUACCAAUUCAACGUGUCAAUUUACCCCUCAGCCCCAAUCUUCCUCAUCCAACUGCAGGCAGUACUCUGCAUUGGUCAAUUGACUAACUUCCACUGGAUUAUCAUGGUCAAACCAUGAAUGUCGAGACAUCACCAUGAACAACAUAUUCACACUCCUAAUCUAUUGUUGAUCCUGAUUAACAGCUUGGUUAGUGGCUCUCUAAAGAAUGGACAACACUUGCCCUUUCAAAAAUCACCAUCCCUUUCACAAAAUAUCAUCUAGCAUUAAAUUAAAACAGUAGUAGUGAAGUUGGAGAUGGUAUCAAACAGGAAAUUAGAAUUGCGUGCGACAAAAGGCAAAACAGUUAUAAUGGGUGAGUUCAAUCUACAUUAGAUUGGGUGAAUCAAAUUGGCAGGGGUGCUGAGGAAGAGGAUUUAUUGGAAUAUAUGCGGGAUAGUUAUCUAAAUCAACAUGUAGAGGAACCAACGAGAGAGCAGGCUAUUUUAGACUGGGUAUUGAGUAAUGAAGAAGGGUUAGUUAUCAGUCUUGUUGUACGUGCCCCCUUGGGCAAGAGUGACCAUAAUAUGGUUGAGUUCUUCAUUAGGAUGGAGAGUGACAUUGUUAAUUCAGAAACAAUGGUUCUGAACUUAAAGAAAGGUAACUUUGAGGGUAUGAGACGUGAAUUGGCCAAGAUUGACUGGCAAAUAAUUCUAAAAGUGUUGACGGUGGAUAUGCAAUGGAAGACAUUUAAACUACAUGGAUGAACUACAAAAUUUGUUCAUGCCAGUUUGGCAAAAAAAUAAAUCAGGGAAGGUAGUGCAUCUGUGGAUAACAAGGGAAAUCAGGGAUAGUAUCAAAGCGAAGGAUGAUGCGUACAAAUUAGCCAGAAAAAGCAGCAUACCGGAGGACUGGGAGAAAUUCAGAGACCAGCAGAGGAGGACAAAGUGCUUAAUUAGGAAAGGAAAAAUAGAUUAUGAAAGAAAACUGGCAGGGAACAUAAAAACUUACUGCAAAAGUUUUUAUAGAUAUGUGAAAAGAACGAGAUUAGUUAAAACACAUGUAGGUCCCUUGCAGUCAGAGCAGGUGAGUUGAUCAUGGGGAACAAGGAUAUGGCGGACCAAUUGAAUAACUACUUUGGUUCCGUCUUCACUAAGGCAGACAUAAAUAAUCUGCCGGAAAUAGCAGGGGACCGCGGGUCAAAGGAGUUGGAGGAAUUGAGUGAAAUCCAGGUUAGCCGGGAAGUGGUGUUGGGUAAAUUGAAUGGAUUAAAGGCCGAUAAAUCCCCAGGGCCAGAUAGGCUGCAUCCCAGAGUACUUAAGGAAGUAGCUCCAGAAAUAGUGGAUGCAUUAGUAAUAAUCUUUCAAAACUCUUUAGAUUCUGGAGUAGUUCCUGAGGAUUGGCGGGUAGCAAACGUAACCCCACUUUUUAAGAAGGGAGGGAGAGAGAGAAAACGGUGAAUUACAUACCAGUUAGUCUAACAUCGGUAGUGGGGAAACUGCUAGAGUCAGUUAUUAAAGAUGGGAUAGCAGCACAUUUGGAAAGUGGUGAAAUCAUUGGACAUAGUCAGCAUGGAUUUACGAAAGGUAAAUCAUGUCUGACGAAUCUUAUAGAUUUUUUCGAGGAUGUAACUAGUAGCGUGGAUAGGGGGGAACCAGUGGAUGUGGUGUAUCUGGACUUCCAGAAGGCUUUCGACAAGGUCCCACAUAAGAGAUUAGUAUACAAACUUAAAGCACACGGCAUUGGGGGUUCAGUAUUGAUGUGGAUAGAGAACUGCCUGGCAAACAGGAAGCAAAGAGUAGGAGUAAACGGAUCCUUUUCACAAUGGCAGGCAGUGACUAGUGGGGUACCGCAAGGCUCAGUGCUGGGACCCCAGCUAUUUACAAUAUAUAUUAUUGAUAUGGAUGAGGGAAUUGAAGGCAAUAUCUCCAAGUUUGCGGAUGACAUUAAGCUGGGGGGCAGUGUUAGCUGUGAGGAGGAUGAUAGGAGACUGCAAGGUGACUUGGAUAGGCUGGGUGAAUGGGCAAAUGUUUGGCAGAUGCAGGAUAAUGUGGAUAAAUGUGAGGUUAUCCAUUUUGGUGGCAAACAUAGGAAAGCAGACUAUGAUCUAAAUGGUGGCCGACUAGGAAAAGGGGAGAUGCAGCGAGACCUGGGUGUCAUGGUACACCAGUCAUUGAAAGUAGGCAUGCAGGUGCAGCAGGCAGUGAAGAAAGCGAAUGGUAUGUUAGCUUUCUACUGCAGUUGUACAGGGUCUUGGUGAGACCACACCUGGCGUAUUGCGUACAGUUUUGGUCUCCAAAUCUGAGGAAGAACAUUAUUGCCAUAGAGGGAGUGCAGAGAAGGAUCACCAGACUGAUUCCUGGGAUGUCAGGACUGUCUUAUGAACAAAGACUGGAUAGACUUGGUUUAUACUGUCUAGAAUUUAGGAGAUUGAGAGGGGAUCUUAUAGAAACUGACAAAAUUCUUAAGGGGUUGGACAGGCUAGAUGCAGGAAGAUUGCUCCCGAUGUUGGGGAAGUCCAGGACAAGGGGUCACAACUUAAGGAUAGGGGGGAAAUCCAUUAAAACCGAGAUGAGAAGAACUUUUUUCACACAGAGAGUGGUUAAUCUCUGGAACUCUCUGCCACAGAGGGUAGUCGAGGCCAGUUCAUUGGAUAUAUUUUAGAGGGAGUUAGAUGUGGCCUUUGUGGCUAAGGGGAUCAGAGGGUAUGGAGAGAAGGCAGGUACGGGAUACUGAGUUUGAUGAUUAGCCAUGAUCACAUUGAAUGGCGGUGCAGGCUCGAAGGGCCGAAUGGCCUACUCCUGCACCUAAUUUCUAUGUUUCUAUGUUUCUAAAUGCGUCCAAUUCACUUUGCCACUAGUUCAGGUAUUAUUCUAAAGUGAAAAUAACAACAUUUCAGAAUGGAUUGAGCAUCAUUAAUAGAUGGUGGAUAGGUGAUGUUUCGGAUCGAGACCCUUCUUUUGAGUCUGAAGAAGUCUGUCAUGACCUGAAACAUCACCUAUACAUGUCCUCCAGAGAUGCUGCCUGGCCUGCAGAAGUACCAUAACCAUAUAACCAUAUAACCAUAUAACAAUUACAGCACGGAAACAGGCCAUCUCGGCCCUACAAGUCCGUGACGAACAACUUUUUCCCUCAGUCCCACCUGCCUGCACUCAUACCAUAACACUCCAUUUCCUUCUCAUCCAUAUGCCUAUCUAAUUUAUUUUUAAAUGAUACCAAUGAAUCUGCCGACACCACUUCCACUGGAAGCUCAUUCCACACCGCUACCACUCUCUGAGUAAAGAAGUUCCCCCUCAUAUUACCCCUAAACGUCUGUCGCUUUUUCUCCUCAUCUUAUUCCUUAUUGUCUUUUGUCUUAAACCUUUACCCCUGGUCAUGGUCUUCCCCAACAGGGAACAUCUUCCUCCAUCCAGACUGGUCUACUUGUUAGAAUUGUCUAUGUUUCCAUGUGAACCAUUGUCAUUCUUCUAAACUCCACGAGCCAAAUUAACUCAAAUUCUCUUUGUAAUUUUCACCAUCCCAGGAAGAAGUCAGAACAAGGAGGUUAGGCGAUGUGACUUUUCAUGGAGGGUUUUUUUUUUCAAACUGCUGGAGGUACUCUGUGGGUCGAUCAGCAUCUAUGGAGGAAAGGCGAUGAUCAGCGUUUGGUAUCGUGACCCUGCAUUGACUUAAAUCAUCAUUUUUCAAAUACAAAUAAAUUCUUUGUUUCCAACUUAUUUCCACAGAUAAAGAGGAAGGUAUUCACUAUGGAUCCAUCUCCUUCCAGCCUAAAGCAACUGGUGGUAAACUGACUUUAUUUAAAUAUGUUUUCAUAUUUUAUCACAGUGAGGAUUAUUGGCGCUGAGUAGUCUGAAACCCUGCUGUCUUUGCCCACCUUACAACAGCAUCAGGCAUUCCUGGGAUAAAGUCCCUCACCCUGCCCAUUGACAAGGAGUGGGACAGUCAGCUGAGGCUCAGUUAGGAGCCCAACCUUCUCUGAAUGUGUUCUGGUCCCCUAAACUACAGGGAGUGUGUUCUGGUCCCCUAAACUACAGGGAGUGUGUUCUGGUCCCCUAAACUGCAGGGAGUGUGUUCUGGUCCCCUAAACUGCAGGGAGUGUUUUCUGGUCCCCUAACCUACCAUAAGUGUGUUCUGGUCCCCUAAACUACUCUAAGUGGGUUCUGGUCCCCAGCCUUCUCCCAGUGUGUUCUGCUCUCCUAAACUACAGGGAGUGUGUCCUGGUCCCCUAAACUACAGGGAGUGUGUUCUGGUCCCCUAACCUACUCUGUGGGUUCUGGGCCCCUAACCUACUCUAAGUGGGUUCUGGUCCCCUAAACUACAGGGAGUGUGUUCUGGUCCCCUAACCUACUCUCUAAGUGGGGUCUGGUCCCCUAGCCUACUCUGAAUGAGUACAAUAGCCACUCCAGAGAUACAACCAGUGACAUCCAGGCUGCUGUUGCAACACUGUUGUGCAUUGGCGUUGGUGAUGGGAAGUGAAACCAAGCCAACAUUUAUGUCCAUCUGAAGAACAUUCUUCUUCACAACUCCUGACUGAGCUAGAAGUGAUCAGCACAAUCUUCCUUGAAUUACAUUUUUUUUUGAUAUUGAUUAGUAGUACUGGAUGUUACAAUCCCUAAGGUUCUUCACCAUAACUGACACCCGAUAUUCCUGGGGUUGACCACUAGGUGAUUUUGCUACCAACCAGACACAUCUUCAGUUGUGUACCUCAACAUCACUGGGUGUUUCGGCCUUUUAUCACAAGACACCCACCCUCAGUCGAGGCAGGCUCACCGUAGGGUGAUCAGCCCUGGGUGUGUGUCUUAUUGUUAGCCUCUAGAUGGUCACGUGUCAGCCCAGACAGCAUCUUUUCUCUUCAGCCACAGCCAGUAACUGCUCCAUUCUGCUUUUAUCCUCCCAUUUUCCUCUCUACCGCUGACUGUGGCUGGGUGGGCUCUGGACUCGUGUCCGUUGGUGAGACAGUACUUGGUUGAACUUCACCUGGGGUACUGAUACCCUGUGGACUGUGGUGGUCAACCUGCCACUGGGCUUCACUCGACUGGUUUGGCCUUCCUCUUAGACGGUCAUGGCCAAUGCGAGGCCCCACACCAAGCUCUCCCAGGCACUUUUCACUGCCCUGGUGGAUCUUGAGACCCUUCUCUGAUGUUAUCUUUUCCCAGCGACAGAUGCAGCUACGUAGCUUAUGUCCUGCCAGGGCUGCUGCUCUGUUAAUUGCUGUGUUAGUUCUCUUAUUCAUAGUCGAUUCCUUCCGUAGCAAUAUAAGGGUGUCUUGUUCAUGGUGACCAUUCCUGCAGCUCACUGUAAAUGCAGAAGUAUGACAGAUGGGUUUUCUGGAAUUCAAUGUCUUGUUGAUCCACUGUCAGGAAGAGCAAAAUGUUGUAAGCGUUAGACUUUUAUAUUCCAUUUGUCGUUUCCUUUGUCAACACCAUCCACCAAUGUCAUUUUUAAUUGUGAUGUUUGCAUUUAUUUCAGGCAGCAGCGAUAAUACAAUGUCCUCCAAUCAAGCAUCAGGCACUAACCUUGUUUCUUCAAAGGAAGAUGAGUCUGUCAUCUAUGCUGAAACAGCAAAAACAUAAACAUGGUGGAAAGUAAAGGCUUGGACUUUGACAAGUGCAACGGUUCAAUUUUUGGAAUUUACUUUUUUAUUUCAUCCAUAUUAUUAAAACGAAGAUCUUGACCACUUUCUGACUUUCUGUAUCGUGAUUUCUGAAAGAACGCCGCCACUUACAGCCGUCAUUUUUGGUCACCUCGCUCAGGGUCCCCCUCCGCUGAGCUGGACCGGAGGCUUUUUCCCAUCGAUGAAAAAUCAGAGUUGUUAAUGUUUUAGUAUUGGUUGUGAGUGUUUGUGUUUGCAGAAAAUGUAUUGGUUGUAAAGUGUUUGCAAAUUUGGAGAUUUAAACGUUUGAAUCAUUCGGUUUACACACUAUGUUUACCACGUUCUGAGGUUACUUGGCAUUUUAGUAUUGGUUGUGUGUGUCAGUGUGUGAGUGACUGUGUGUGUGUGAGUGACUGUGUGUGUAUGUUUGACUGUGUGUGUGUGUGUGUGUGUGUGUGUGUGUGUGUG